rnacentral:misc_RNA from 1 species
UACGAACUGUGCGAACGUUAUUCGGAAUCACUGGGCUUAAAGGGUGCGUAGGCGGCUCUGUAAGUCAGGUGUGAAAGUCCCCGGCUCAACCGGGGAAUGGCGCUUGAGACUGCAGGGCUUGAGUGAGGCAGGGGUGUGCGGAACUGCCGGUGGAGCGGUGAAAUGUGUUGAUAUCGGCAGGAACGCCGGUGGCGAAAGCGGCACACUGGGCCUUGUCUGACGCUGAGGCACGAAAGCCAGGGUAGCGAACGGG